CAGACACGCUAAUUUAGAUAAAAUUGUUAGUACAAAAAGCAGUACAACUAUCUUGAAACUAAUCAUUUGUGUAAUACAAUACAAGUAACAAACACAAAUAAGAAAGGUCGAAAGAUGUGUUACGAAUGGGUGCUAAUUCUGUUCCUCGCAGUUGUUAAUCUCACCGUUGCAAGAAAUUCCAAUUAUCAGACACACUCAAAUGAUGAACAUAUGAUGCGUUACCAGCAGCAACCAACCAUUGGUCCAGAAAAACUGGUUGGCCUCAAUUACGAUCCUCCCAUCAGACCCAACCAGCAACGACCUAUACAAAGAAAGCUCUGGCAUGCAGGUCCAAGGAUUGCAGUUCCAAGCAUUGCAGUUCCAAAAAACAAUCCAUUGAAGUCUCGAAUCCCAGGAAGGCAAGUCCGGCCGCCUCCAUCCCAAACAUUCACAUUCCAGGACAACAACUAGCUAGUAGUAACUCAAUUGGAGGUUUGAUUUGAGACGAAUCCAAUAACACGCUGCUGCUACAUAUUUUUAUUUUUAUGUUCCACAUAUUUUUAUGCUGCUGAUUUGUUUGAGUGUUGGCGGUGUUAUUUCAUUGGAAUUUGACGGUGCCAUUUGAUUAGCUAGUGUGUUAACUAAUUCAAUUGGAGGUUUGAUUGUAUUCUUUCUUCUUUUCCUCCGAGGCUAAAUCGUUGGUGAAUUAGUGAAGACAAUUAUUCAAUUCUUUAGCUUGUUGACAACAUUGCCAAACAAAUGAAAGUGUUCUCCCCAUAGCACAUUCAACAUAUUUCUUUGUGUACUGAUCACACUCCUUAAGUGCCUUAUUCUUCAUUUAAGCUUCUUCAACUUUCUUCUUGACUUGAUUCUUGCGUGCCUCUUGAACGUAAUCCAUUAUUCAGAUUUUCAGAUUUAAGAAAACAAAACAACUCAGUGGCAGUAGCUGCUAGAUGGUAUAUGUGUUUAAUGGAGAAGCAUUAUCUUUUGAUACAGUGAACAUUUUUUUUUUAUCAAUUUCAUUUGGUAUUUUAUUUAAUUGUAGCAAUUUGGUUAUCUCAUAGUGAUUACAAUGAGUAAUGAUAACGAAUUUUGGAGUUACAUAAUAAAAAAAAUUUGAAAGAAAAAAGAAUGUGGAAUUAUGUUGAUGGAAUUUUUGUUAAAUCUAUUGAUAGAAAGGAUGAAGCAAAAUAUGCAAAAGAGUUUGAAACAUGGGAUAUUAGUAAUUCUAAGAUCCUUACUUGGAUCAAUAAUUUUAUUUCUCAGUCAAUAGGUAUGCAACUAGCAAAGUAUAAUACUGCUGAGGAGGUUUAGGACCAUUUGAAACAUUUGUAUGCUCAAUCUAAUUUUGUAAAAUGAUAUCAGCUAGAGAGUGAUAUUAGAGCUCUCAAACAUAAUAAUAUGACCAUUCGGGAAUUUUGUCCGACUAUGAGUAAUUUGUGGAAUCAAUUGGCUCUUAUGGAAUCGACUGAACUGAAAGUUGUCAAAAGUGUACACUGAUCAAAGAGAAGAGCAACAUUUUGUUCAAUUUCGAAUGUCGUUUAGGGAUGAUUUUGAGGGACUUUGUAUGGGGUAUUCUGCAUCGUAAUCCUCUUUCCAGUGUUUAUUCAUUUUUUAAUGAAUUGUUGAUAGAAGAAAUUAGACUCAAGUCUCACUCCAAUUUGACUACUUCUCAAAUAUGUGAUAUUGCAGAGCAGCUUCAAAAGCUUCUUGCCACUCAGUCACGUGUCAUAUAUGCCUCCUAUAUUAAAGAAUCCUCAUUCCGAGAGGCUGAUUGGGACAGACCGUAAACAAGGGGACUUUAUAUUUUGGAUGAGUUCAAAGUCCCAGAUACCGCAACCUCAAUCAUUACUUCCACAACUGAUUUAUUAUCCUCUUUUCAUUUGGAUUCUUCAUCUUCUACUUUUUAUUUAUGACAUUACCUUUCUUGGUCUAUUUCUCUACUUCUAGAUUAAAGUAUUUGGCUUCUACUGGAGCUUUAGGAAAGUUACAAACAAACGAUAUUUCAGAUUGUUGUGGUUGUAAACUUGCUAAAAUUUCAACUUUACCAUUUAGUAAAAGUGUUUCUAUUUCAUAUGCAUUGUUUGACUUAGCUCACUCUGAUAUAUAAGAUCCAUCACCGCUCCUUACUAAGGGUGGAUCUAGAUAUUAUGUUUUUUUAUUUAGGAAUAUACUUGUUACUGUUGGGUUUAUCUUAUGAAAAAUCGUUAUGAAUUUUUUGAA